UACAGAGGGGGCAAGCGUUGUUCGGAAUUACUGGGCGUAAAGGGCGCGUAGGCGGCCCGCUAAGUCGAACGUGAAAUCCCCGAGAUCAACUCGGGAACUGCGUCCGAUACUGGCGGGCUUGAAUCCGGGAGAGGGAUGCGGAAUUCCAGGUGUAGCGGUGAAAUGCGUAGAUAUCUGGAGGAACACCGGUGGCGAAGGCGGCAUCCUGGACCGGCAUUGACGCUGAGGCGCGAAAGCUAGGGGAGCAAACGGG
rnacentral:rRNA from 1 species